GCCUGGCUGGCUCAGUCGGUAGAGCAUCUGACUAUUGAUCUUGGGGUCAUGAGUUCAAGUCCCACGCUGGGUG
rfam:Mustela putorius furo unplaced genomic scaffold scaffold00180, whole genome shotgun sequence.